AUUGAACGCUGGCGGCAGGCCUAACGCAUGCAAGUCGAGCGGAUGAAGGGAGCUUGCUCCUGGAUUCAGCGGCGGACGGGUGAGCAAUGCCUAGGAAUCUGCCUGGUAGUGGGGGAUAACGUCCGGAAACGGGCGCUAAUACCGCAUACGUCCUGAGGGAGAAAGUGGGGGAUCUUCGGACCUCACGCUAUCAGAUGAGCCUAGGUCGGAUUAGCUAGUUGGUGGGGUAAAGGCCUACCAAGGCGACGAUCCGUAACUGGUCUGAGAGGAUGAUCAGUCACACUGGAACUGAGACACGGUCCAGACUCCUACGGGAGGCAGCAGUGGGGAAUAUUGGACAAUGGGCGAAAGCCUGAUCCAGCCAUGCCGCGUGUGUGAAGAAGGUCUUCGGAUUGUAAAGCACUUUAAGUUGGGAGGAAGGGCAGUAAGUUAAUACCUUGCUGUUUUGACGUUACCAACAGAAUAAGCACCGGCUAACUUCGUG
rnacentral:rRNA from 1 species